ACUAAGAUAGUUUAAUUUAAAACAUCGGUUUGUGGAACUGAAAAUUUAUUUAUUUUAGUA
rnacentral:tRNA from 1 species